rnacentral:rRNA from 1 species
UACGUAGGUGACAAGCGUUGUCCGGAUUUAUUGGGCGUAAAGCGAGCGCAGGCGGUCUUUUAAGUCUGAUGUGAAAGCCCACGGCUCAACCGUGGAGGGGCAUUGGAAACUGGAAGACUUGAAUACAGAAGAGGAAAGUGGAAUUCCAUGUGUAGCGGUGAAAUGCGUAGAUAUAUGGAGGAACACCAGUGGCGAAGGCGACUUUCUGGUCUGUAAUUGACGCUGAGGUUCGAAAGCGUGGGGAGCGAACAGGAUUAGAAACCCGUGUAGU